rnacentral:rRNA from 1 species
UGGGGGAUAUUGCACAAUGGACGAAAGUCUGAUGCAGCGACGUCGUGUGGGGGAUGAAGGCCUUCGGGUUGUAAACUCCUUUCGCCCGCGGAAAAGGCAGGGUUUUGGCCUUGUUGAUGGUAGUGGGUAAAGAAGCGCCGGCAAACUACGUGCCAGCAGCCGCGGUAAUACGUAGGGCGCGAGCGUUGUCCGGAAUUAUUGGGCGUAAAGGGCUCGUAGGCGGUUUGUCGCGUCUAGCGUUUAAGGCUCGGGCUUAACCCGGGUUUGCGUUGGGUACGGGCAGGCUUGAGUGCGGUAGGGGUAACUGGAAUUCCUGGUGUAGCGGUGGAAUGCGCAGAUAUCAGGAGGAACACCGGUGGCGAAGGCGGGUUACUGGGCCGUUACUGACGCUGAGGAGCGAGAGCGUGGGGAGCGAACAGG